AUUUAAAAAAUCUGAGGAGUGAAAAAACACCACAUAUGUGUUGCCAGAGCUAGUUCUUUUCCUAUGUCUGGUUUUACAAAUUCUGGUAAUGAAU
ensembl:snoRNA SNORA72 Small nucleolar RNA SNORA72